rnacentral:rRNA from 1 species
AUUGAACGCUGGCGGCAUGCCUUACACAUGCAAGUCGAACGGCAGCACGGGAGCAAUCCUGGUGGCGAGUGGCGAACGGGUGAGUAAUAUAUCGGAACGUGCCCAGUGAUGGGGGAUAGCCCGGCGAAAGCCGGAUUAAUACCGCAUACGACCUACGGGUGAAAGCAGGGGAUCGCAAGACCUUGCGUCAUUGGAGCGGCCGAUAUCAGAUUAGCUGUUGGUGGGGUAAAAGCCUACCAAGGCGACGAUCUGUAGCUGGUCUGAGAGGACGACCAGCCACACUGGGACUGAGACACGGCCCAGACUCCUACGGGAGGCAGCAGUGGGGAAUUUUGGACAAUGGGCGCAAGCCUGAUCCAGCCACGCCGCGUGCGGGAAGAAGGCCU